UCCUACGGGAGGCAGCAGUGGGGAAUAUUGGACAAUGGGGGGAACCCUGAUCCAGCCAUGCCGCGUGUGUGAAGAAGGCCUUUUGGUUGUAAAGCACUUUAAGCGAGGAGGAGGCUUACCAAGCUAAUAUCUUGGAUAAGUGGACGUUACUCGCAGAAUAAGCACCGGCUAACUCUGUGCCAGCAGCCGCGGUAAUACAGAGGGUGCGAGCGUUAAUCGGAUUUACUGGGCGUAAAGCGUGCGUAGGCGGCUGAUUAAGUCGGAUGUGAAAUCCCUGAGCUUAACUUAGGAAUUGCAUUCGAUACUGGUCAGCUAGAGUAUGGGAGAGGAUGGUAGAAUUCCAGGUGUAGCGGUGAAAUGCGUAGAGAUCUGGAGGAAUACCGAUGGCGAAGGCAGCCAUCUGGCCUAAUACUGACGCUGAGGUACGAAAGCAUGGGGAGCAAACAGGAUUAGAUACCCUGGUAGUCCAUGCCGUAAACGAUGUCUACUAGCCGUUGGGGUCUUUGAGACUUUAGUGGCGCAGCUAACGCGAUAAGUAGACCGCCUGGGGAGUACGGUCGCAAGACUAAAACUCAAAUGAAUUGACGG
rnacentral:rRNA from 1 species